AUUGAACGCUGGCGGCAGGCCUAACACAUGCAAGUCGAGCGAGCGGCGGACGGGUGAGUAAUGUCUGGGAAACUGCCUGAUGGAGGGGGAUAACUCCUGGAAACGGUAGCUAAUACCGCAUACCAUCAGAUGUGCCCAGAUGGGAUUAGCUAGUGGGUGGGGUAAUGGGUCACCUAGGCGACGAUCCCUAGCUGGUCUGCUCGGAUGACCAGCCACGCGGGGACGUAGGCACGGUCCAGACUCCUACGGGAGGCAGCGGUUGGGAUUAUUGCACAAUGGGCACAAGCCGUAUGCUGCCAGGCCGCGUGUGUGAAGAGGGCCUUCGGGUUGUAAAGCACUUUCAGCGGGGUGGCGUUACCCGCAGAAGAAGCACCGGCUAACUCCGUGCCAGCAGCCGCGGUAAUAC
rnacentral:rRNA from 1 species